GGAACAUCAGCCAAGGUGUAGCGCAGUCUGGUAGCGCAUCUGUUUUGGGUACAGAGGGCCAUAGGUUCAAAUCC
rnacentral:tRNA from 1 species